rnacentral:rRNA from 1 species
UAGGAUUAGAUACCCUAUUAUUAAAAUUUAAAUUGAAAAUACUAAAAUAGUAGAUAAUUAUUUAUUGAAACUUAAAUAAUUUGGCGGUAUUUUAGUUCAUUUAGAGGAAUCUGUUUAAUAAUUGAUAAUCCACGAAUAAAUUUACUUAAUUUUUUAUUUUGUAUAUCGUUGUUAAAAAAAUAUUUUUUAAUAAUAAUAAUAUUUAAAAAUUUUGAUUAAAAAUUAAAUCAGAUCAAGAUGCAGAUUAUAAUUAAGAAUAUAAUGGAUUACAAUAAAUUUAUUUAGAUGAAUAUUAAUUUGUAAAAGUUAAUUGAAGGUGGAUUUAAA